rnacentral:snRNA from 1 species
GGAUGUGAGGGCGAUCUGGCUGCGACAUCUGUCACCCCAUUGAUCACCAGGGUUGAUUCUGCUGAUCUGGCUGGCUAGGCAGGUAGUCUCCUUCUUCCCUCACUGCUCCAUGUGCGUCCCUCCGAAGCUGUGUGCUCUGUCCAAAGAGGACAGCCUCCCCCCGAAUAGAGACAGACCGGUGUUCAGUCAAGGGUAUGUGAGUAGCUGCACUCCCCUGCUAGAACCUCCAAAUAAGCUCUCGAGAUCUAGAAGUCAGAACUCCCACUUUCUAUACCCCAAAAAGAAUUUU